rnacentral:rRNA from 1 species
AGCCUGAUCCAGCCAUACCGCGUGGGUGAGAAGGCCUUCGGGUUGUAAAGCCCUUUUGUUGGGAAAGAAAUCCAGCCGGCUAAUACCCGGUUGGGAUGACGGUACCCAAAGAAUAAGCACCGGCUAACUUCGUGCCAGCAGCCGCGGUAAUACGAAGGGUGCAAGCGUUACUCGGAAUUACUGGGCGUAAAGCGUGCGUAGGUGGUUGUUUAAGUCUGCUGUGAAAGCCCUGGGCUCAACCUGGGAAUUGCAGUGGAUACUGGGCGACUAGAGUGUGGUAGAGGAUAGUGGAAUUUCCGGUGUAGCAGUGAAAUGCGUAGAGAUCGGAAGGAACAUCUGUGGCGAAGGCGACUAUCUGGGCCAACACUGACACUGAGGCACGAAAGCGUGGGGAGCAAACAGGAUUAGAUACCCUGGUAGUCCACGCCCUAAACGAUGCGAACUGGAUGUUGGGCACAACUUGGUGCCCAGUAUCGAAGCUAACGCGUUAAGUUCGCCGCCUGGGGAGUAACGGUCGCAAGACUGAAACUNAGAAAUUUUUGGGGGG